rnacentral:antisense_RNA from 1 species
AGUGUGAAGGGAAGGCUAAGGACGCAUCGGUGCUGGAGAGUUGAGAAUAUGCCUUCCCCUCCACCCUCAACCCAGUCACCUUAUUUGAAAAAAAAUUAAAAAACACCUUUUAUUUAAAAACCUAACCCUGGAAGUUUGCUCGCUGCCCGAAAAUCAUAAGCGUGGUUUUUCCUGUUUCCUGCUCUGUAGCUGACAUCAGGGGAGCAAUGUGAACACAGGAAAAUGGAAAUCAACAUUUGAAACUUUUAAAUGGAAGCUUUAUUGGGUUUCCACAUAUGGAAAACUGCAAAUAGCAGAAGUAUGUGACUCAAUAAAUUAUUCUGGAGUGACCACAUCCUCUAACUGCCUCCCAGGACAAGAAGGAGAAUGUGAACAAUGCUCCUGAAGGCCCCUUUCCCUCAAAGAAUCACUGCAAUUGAAGGAAAAAUGCUCCAUGUCCCCUCUGCCAGUUGGUGUUUAUCAAAGGACAACGGAGGAAGAGAGACAAAGUGCCUGGAUGUGUGUGUUAAUCAAGAGUUGUCAGGACCCUGCCUCUAAAAGAAAGCGCUAAAAUGAUGCUUUUGACAAGACUUUUCUCAAAGUGGAUGCAGUCUAAGGGUUGGAAAACAAGGCCCAAUCAGGCUAGGUCUGACUUGUCGCCUGCUUUUGUAAAUAAAGUUUUAUUGGCUCACAGAC